CUUUCUGAUCAGCGAAUCCCGUAUGGUGCGAGUAGUAGUAGUAUUAUUUUUUUGGAGAGACGCAAUUGGUGGUAUCUUCCGGCAAUCCAAUAGCUGUGCGCACCGGAUAGCUUCCGCUGCCGACCACCGACACGUGGCCAAUAGCCUUUAGCCCCAACCUCGCACGCUGUCACAGUUCAAAAACAAUAAAAUAACCAAUAAACAAAUGGAGGCCAAGUGAGGAACCCGCUAAUAAACUAUUAAGUAGUAACUGUUACUAUAUGCCUAUGCGCAUUGCGCACCUCACCUCCAGAACUCCGGCGACUUCAAUGAGCAGCGGCGAGGAAAGAGAAACUGCGGCCUUCCGUGCUCUCGCGGAUCGCUGCCGGAGCCUCGAGGAGAAGCAGACCAAGCUCAGGGAGGAGUUCGAUGAGCUGUUGCAGAAGAACAACCUCACAGUCAGGGACGAUAACGAUCACGUUAGCGGUAACGGUAACAAUAACGAGGUCAUUGCUGAUUCAACAACCGACGGUUUUCUUUCCGGUUUCAUCUUCUCCGGAAAUCCCUACGCAACCGUGUUGAAAUGCAUGGGCCACGCCGUUCACGCUCUUAGAGUUCCCUCCUCCGAGAUCGUAUACUGGAAUCACUCAGCAGAAACUCUGUAUGGAUGGAAGGACUACGAAAUCAUUGGCCAAAGAGUAGCUAAAGUCCUAAUUGCUGAAGAAAAUUAUGCAUCUCUUCAAAAAAUUCUGGAAGGGUUGGUCACAGGCGUACCAUGGUCUGGGCAGUUUCCUUUCAAGAAGAGGUCUGGUGAAGUAUUUAUGGCAAUGGUAACAAAAACUCCUCUUUAUGAGGAUGGUGAGCUUGUUGGUGUUAUAGCUGUUUCAAGUGACGCAGCUAUAUUAAACACUACAAAUUCAGAAAAUCAAAGAACUUACCAAUCUGGUAACAAUGGCCAACCUGGAGUACAGAGGUUAAACUUAAAAAGAAUUCAGUGGCCUCCACGACCAAUGAUUGCAUCGAUGCCACAGAUUGCUUCAAGUGUUUCCGAUCUGGCAUCCAAGCUCCUCCCGGUGCUGAAUACUACUGAUGACACAGUUUCCCAGAAUACUUCAACAGAUGCAAAUGAUGAAAAACUAGAGAAGCGUGGCAUAUAUGAAACAAAACCUCAUUCCAGACAUCACCAUAAAGAAAACACAACUGUCACUGAGGCCUCUGAGAAGGAUGAGUCUACUACAGAAUUUGGUCAACCUUCUAAUAUUGCAGCCAGAGUCCUUGCCAAGCUUCAAAUUGGGGCACAUGCAAAAUGUGGGAAGGAUAAUGGAAAUAUCAAAAAUAAUUGUACAGCUGAUAAUUCAGGAAGCAAUAGAGUGAAUAAUGAAAAUGAUUUGCUUGGAGAUUUAUUGUCAUUAAAUCGACACCAGGACGUUGCUAAUGGAGCAGAUAAAGAAGAAAAUCUUCAUAAAUGUAAUUCUUUAUUUGCAAUGAAGAGAGCAGAUACAAAAGUUUGUGCAUGUAGAGCUUCCAAUGUUGUCAAAGAUAGUUCUGGUAAACCUUUCUCAGGGGAGUGGUGUGAAUGCUUUGGUUCUCCCAUUCCCCAUGACCCGUUGUUAAGAUUACGCUGUCAAUUUGAUCAGAAGAAAUUGGAGCCAGAGGCUAUGAAUAUGGCAACAGGAGAUGAAGUGCAAAAGCAGCAAGAAGGGUUGCAAUUGCCAAGUUCGAGGGAGAGUAUAGGCAGCCAUGAAAGUUCAUCAAGCAAAGGAGAUAAUGAGUCAAACUCUGUUUCAAAGUGUGAAAUCCAUUGGGAACAUCUUCAAUUAAGAGAAGAGAUCGGACAAGGUUCUUGUGCUGUUGUUUAUCAUGGAAUUUGGAAUGGAUCGGAUGUUGCAGUCAAGGUUUACUUCGGGAAUGAAUACACAGAGGAGACUUUACAAGACUACAGAAAAGAGAUUGAUAUAAUGAAGAGAUUGAGACACCCUAAUGUAUUGCUUUUCAUGGGAGCAGUAUAUUCACAGGAAAGACUUGCCAUUGUGACAGAGUUAUUACCUAGGGGAAGCCUUUUCAAAAAUUUGCACAGGAACAAUCAGACAUUAGACAUCAGAAGGCGCCUAAGGAUGGCUCUUGAUGUUGCUAGAGGAAUGAAUUAUCUUCAUCACAGAAAUCCACCAAUUGUGCAUAGAGACCUGAAGUCUUCUAACCUGCUUGUAGAUAAAAACUGGACUGUAAAGGUUGGAGACUUUGGCCUGUCUAGGUUGAAGGAUGCAACUUUAUUAACUACAAAAUCUGGGAGAGGCACCGUAAUGACAGCACUCACUUUUUCACUUUUUACAUACAAAACAUCUGACCUGAACACCUCAAUGGAUGGCCCCUGAAGUCCUAAGAAAUGAACCUUCAAAUGAGAAGUCUGAUGUGUACAGUUUUGGUGUCAUCCUCUGGGAACUAAUGACUCAAUCUAUUCCAUGGAAAAAUUUGAAUUCCUUACAGGUUGUUGGAGUCGUAGGCUUUAUGGAUAGACGACUAGACCUUCCAGAGGGGCUUGAUCCCCAUGUUGCAUCAAUCAUCGAUGACUGCUGGCGAAGUGAUCCAGAGCAACGCCCAUCAUUUGAGGAGCUGAUACAGAGAACGUUGUUCCUUGUCAACAGAGUAACAGCAGUGUCAAUUAGGAGAAUUUCAGAAUCCUGAGCUUGUUAUGGUUUUGGGUUUUGCUUUCUCAAAAUAUAUUAGUUAAAAACAUAUUAUGAGAAGUACAAGCAACAAAUUGAGUGGCAAACCGCAAAACAUUCUUCCUUCCAUGACGUGCUCCUUUUGUGAGGAAUGGCUAUUGAAUAUUGAAUAGAAGGCAGAACAAACUUCAUUUUUUGGGCGAGCAUUC